rnacentral:rRNA from 1 species
AGGAUGAACGCUGGCGGCGUGCUUAACACAUGCAAGUCACGGGGGCCCAGCAAUGGGCAACCGGCGAACGGGUGCGUAACACGUGAGCAACCUACCGAAAUGAGGGGGAUAGCCGGCCCAACGGCCGGGUAAUACCGCAUAAGCUCAAGUCGAGGCAUUUCGAUUUGAGGAAACCUCCGGGGCGUUUCGAGGGGCUCGCGGCCUAUCAGCUAGUUGGUGAGGUAACGGCUCACCAAGGCAACGACGGGUAGCUGGUCUGAGAGGAUGGCCGGCACAUUGGACUGAGAUACGGCCCAGACUCCUACGGGAGGCAGCAGUGGGGAAUCUUGCGCAAUGGCCUAACGGCUGACGCAGCGACGCCGCGUGAGGGAUGACGCUCUUCGGAGUGUAAACCUCUUUUGUCUGAGACGAAUUGUCAGCUUCAGCUGAUUUGACGGUAUCGGCGAAUAAGCACCGGCUAACUCCGCGCCAAGCCAGCCGC